UGCCCUUUUGUGGUAAACAGCCGCUGUAUUUUGACGGUGCUAAGGUAGCGAAAUUCCUAGUCUUUUAAUUGGAGGCCUGCAUGAAUGGCUUGACGAGCGCCUGACUGUCUCUCUCCCGCAUGUAGUGAAAUUAACUUUUGUGUGCAAAGGCACAAAUAAUUGAGUAAGACGAAAAGACCCUGUGCAACUUUACUAAGAAAAGAGGGGUUACCUACUUGUAGUUUAGCUGGGGCAGCUUAGGAAAAGAUAAAACUUCCUUGAAUUUAAGAUACUGGUAGGUUUGGAUCCGACGUAAUUAUUGUGUAGGUCGAGUAGCAGAAAAGUUACGCCAGGGAUAACAGCGUUAUCCUUCUGUGGAGGUCUUAUCUGCAGGGGGGAUUGCGACCUCG
rnacentral:rRNA from 1 species